rnacentral:rRNA from 1 species
GACAGAGGUCUCAAGCGUUAGGCGGAAUCACUGGGCUUAAAGCGUGUGUAGGUGGACUUCUAAGUGCCUUGUGAAAUCCCACGGCUUAACCGUGGAACUGCUGGGCAUACUGGGAGUCUUGAGCCAUCUAGGGGCGACUGGAACAAACGGUGGAGCGGUGAAAUGCGUAGAUAUCGUUUGGAACGCCAAAGGCGAAAGCAGAUCGCUGGGGAUGAGCUGACACUGAGACACGAAAGCCAGGGGAGCAAACGGG